CAAAUGCUUCCCUUCUCGUUUAUUGUCACUACCAUUUUUUCCCCAGACUACUCUCAUUCUCAGCCCACGUAGGAAAUCAGAAGAUAAUUUAAAAUUAAAUGAUGAUGGCUCUGAGCUUAAAGCACUUUGAAAAAGAGAGGAAAGAAACAUAUCACAACUUGACAGGGCUGGGAGUGAGAGUCAGAAGCUUGCCCAGGAUGUCCAGAAGAGCUGCUGGCAGGUUCUCUGACUUUUAGAAGCAAAAAGAGCAUUUGUCAAACUCUGACAAAUCAGAAUUCAAAUUUCUGCUCUGCGACUUAUGAGCCACAGAACCUGGGACAAGUUAGCUUUCUAGGUCUCAGAGUUCACAUCUGGAUAAUGGGAUUAUUUAUUAUUUCACAACAUAGCUGUGAAAUUGAAUGAGGUGAAAAGUAUGUAACAGUGCCGAGCAUAUUGCCUGGUAUAUAACAUGCAUUAAACCAGGGGUUGGCAAACUUCUGUCAAGGGCCAGAUAGUAAAUAUUUUAGGCUUUGCAGGCCUAUCGACUCAAGUUGGCCGUGAUAACAUGAAAGCAGCUGGAGACGAUAUGCAAAGGAAGGAUCAUGGCUGAGUUCCAAUAAAACUUUGUUUAAAAAAGACA
rnacentral:lncRNA from 1 species